GAUGAAGAACGUAGCGAAAUGCGAUAAGUAAUGUGAAUUGCAGAAUUCAGUGAAUCAUCGAAUCUUUGAACGCACAUUGCGCCCCCUGGUAUUCCGGGGGGCAUGCCUGUUCGAGCGUCAUUUCACCACUCAAGCCUCGCUUGGUAUUGGGCAACGUGGUCCGCCGCGUGCCUCAAAUCGACCGGCUGGGUCUUCUGUCCCCUAAGCGUUGUGGAAACUAUUCGCUAAAGGGUGUUCGGGAGGCUACGCCGUAAAACAACCCCAUUUCUAAGGUUGACCUCGGAUCAGGUAGGGAUACCCGCUGAACUUAAGCAUAUCAAUAAGCGGAGGA
rnacentral:misc_RNA from 1 species